GAUGGAAACACUGAGACUCAGAGAGAGCUGGUGAUCUCUGCGGCACUCGGGCAGCAGAAAGGAUCGAGCCCCGUCCUCCAGGAUCCGAUGGCCCACGGACACUGCUGACUCUUCAGGAUAUGCGGACAUGGAGCCAGGUAGACUGAAAUUACCAUGUGUCCAAAUUAAAAUUGCAUACUUCAAGGAUUAUUUGAAGGACUAUUCUUAGACCCUUUUAAGAAGAUUUAAAGAAAAACCGCUCAGCCCUGAGUGAGGCAAGGACCCUGUUCG